CGGAGGACCGGAUGCGGUCGCUGCCGGCGGGGAACCGCCGGGGGAGGAAAGUCCGGACUCCAACGGACGGCAUGCUUGCUAACGGCAAGGCGCGGUGACGCGACGGAAAGUGCAGCAGAGAGUAGACCGCCCGCCCGUCGAGGGCGGGCAAGGGUGAAACGGUGCGGUAAGAGCGCACCGCUCGGCCGGCGACGGUUCGAGGCGAUGGCAAACCCCAUGUGGAGCAAGACCAAAUAGGGAGAGCGGAUCGGGUUGUCCGUCCCGGUUCCGGGCCGUUCGCGGCCGGGGACGUUCUCCGGGUAGGUCGCAGAGAUGAAUGGCCGCCUCCCGAAGCCCCCGGGCUGUGGGACGAACAGAAUCCGGCUUACGAGGUCCUCCGGCGC
rnacentral:RNase_P_RNA from 1 species